CCCUGGGUAGUGCACUGGUGAUCACCCUUGGCUGCUAACCAAAAGUCUGGAGGUUCAAGUCCACCCAAAGGUG
rnacentral:tRNA from 1 species